rnacentral:other from 1 species
UUUCCUCUGCCAUGUUCGUGCUGCCGGUGACAUUUUUUGGUGAGCCGAUAAUGAGAACCGCUGGGAACCUAGAUUACGGCUCCGGCCGCGUGUACAGCCGACGUGGGUGAUGUCGCAACGCGCCGUUGCCCCUCCGUCGGAUCACACUACCCGGUGCCUAGGUACCCACUUAUUCAUAGCGGGCUCUCACAAGAACUCACCGCCACGGCAUUGCGGUGGAGGAGUU